rnacentral:misc_RNA from 1 species
GAUGAAGAACGCAGCGAAAUGCGAUACGUAAUGUGAAUUGCAAAUUCAGUGAAUCAUCGAGUCUUUGAACGCACAUUGCGCCCGCCAGUAUUCUGGCGGGCAUGCCUGUUCGAGCGUCAUUUCAACCCUCAGGCCCCCAGUGCCUGGUGUUGGGGAUCGGCCCAGCCUUCCUGUAAGGCCGCCGGCCCCGAAAUCUAGUGGCGGUCUCGCUGUAGUCCUCCUCUGCGUAGUAGCACAACCUCGCAGUUGGAACGCGGCGGUGGCCAUGCCGUUAAACACCCCACUUCUGAAAGUUGACCUCGGAUCAGGUAGGAAUACCCGCUGAACUUAAGCAUAUCAAUAAGCGGAGGA